CUUUAGCGUCUGGUUCAGAGGAGUUUCGACUUCAUUGUUCACAUUUACCCUUUUCAAACAUCCAGGCUGUUAAAUAUCUGUUAUUGAGAUUCUGUGGGACUUGACAUGUCAGGGGUUGAUCAAAAUUAUGGACAACUUGACUAGUGCCCCGCCAUGACACUACAAAGCACGCCUUCUGAAGCCCUCCUUUUCCCCAAAGCUUGACCUGCACAAGUGAUGUCAGCUCUGAGGUUACCAGUCAUUAAAUGUGGACAAAGACGAGAGCAUUGAGAAAGUCAUGGUAGAGACAGCUGGGCUCUUUAUGGAUGGCUGAUGUUCUAGAGAGUAGG